rnacentral:rRNA from 1 species
UACGUAGGGGCAAGCGUUAUCCGGAUUUACUGGGUGUAAAGGGAGCGCAGACGGCAGUGCAAGUCUGAUGUGAAAGCCCGGGGCUCAACCCCGGAACUGCAUUGGAAACUGUACAGCUUGAGUGUCGGAGAGGUAAGCGGAAUUCCUAGUGUAGCGGUAAAAUGCGUAGAUAUUAGGAGGAACACCGGUGGCGAAGGCGGCUAUCUGGACAGUAACUGACGCUGAGGCACGAAAGCGUGGGGAGCAAACAGGAUUAGAUACCCUGGUAGU